rnacentral:rRNA from 1 species
UACGAAGGGGGCUAGCGUUGUUCGGACUUACUGGGCGUAAAGCGCACGUAGGCGGAUCGUUAAGUCAGGGGUGAAAUCCUGGGGCUCAACCCCAGAACUGCCUUUGAUACUGGCGAUCUCGAGUCCGGAAGAGGUGAGUGGAACUCCUAGUGUAGAGGUGGAAUUCGUAGAUAUUAGGAAGAACACCAGUGGCGAAGGCGGCUCACUGGUCCGGUACUGACGCUGAGGUGCGAAAGCGUGGGGAGCAAACAGG